GACGAACGCUGGCGGCGUGCUUAACACAUGCAAGUCGAGCGGUAAGGCCCUUUCGGGGGUACGACGAGCGGCGAACGGGUGAGUAACACGUGGGUGACCUGCCCUCAGCUCUGGGAUAAGCCCGGGAAACUGGGUCUAAUACCGGAUAUGACUCCAUGACGCAUGUUGUGGGGUGGAAAGCCUUGUGCGGCUGAGGAUGGGCCCGNGGCCUAUCAGCUUGUUGGUGGGGUGAUGGCCACCAAGGCGACGACGGGUAGCCGGCCUGAGAGGGCGACCGGCCACACUGGGACUGAGAUACGGCCCAGACUCCUACGGGAGGCAGCAGUGGGGAAUCUUGCGCAAUGGGCGAAAGCCUGACGCAGCGACGCCGCGUGA
rnacentral:rRNA from 1 species